rnacentral:rRNA from 1 species
UACGUAGGGUGCAAGCGUUAAUCGGAAUUACUGGGCGUAAAGCGUGCGCAGGCGGUUUUGUAAGUCUGUCGUGAAAUCCCCCGGGCUUAACCUGGGAAUGGCAUUGUGACUGCACGGCUAGAGUGUGUCAGAGGGGGGUAGAAUUCCACGUGUAGCAGUGAAAUGCGUAGAGAUGUGGAGGAAUACCGAUGGCGAAGGCAGCCCCCUGGGAUAACACUGACGCUCAUGCACGAAAGCGUGGGGAGCAAACAGG